rnacentral:rRNA from 1 species
GACGAACGCUGGCGGCAUGCCUAAUACAUGCAAGUCGAACGCGGCCAUCCGGUGCUUGCACUGGUGAAGCCGAGUGGCGAAUGGGUGAGUAACACGUGAGAAACCUGCCCUGGAGUGGGGAAUAACUCGAAGAAAUUCGAGCUAAUACCGCAUACCUUCUCUUCACCGCAUGGUGAGUUGAAGAAAGAUUUAUCGCUCUAGGAGGGUCUCGCGGCCUAUCAGCUAGUUGGUGAGGUAAUGGCUCACCAAGGCAUCGACGGGUAGCUGGUCUGAGAGGACGAUCAGCCACACUGGGACUGAGACACGGCCCAGACUCCUACGGGAGGCAGCAGUAGGGAAUCUUGCGCAAUGGGCGAAAGCCUGACGCAGCAAUGCCGCGUGCGGGACGAAGGCCCUAGGGUCGUAAACCGCUUUCAGUAGGGACGAAAAUGACGGUACCUGCAGAAGAAGCUCCGGCCAACUACGUGCCAGCAGCCG